CGAAGAAGUCGCAAGUGUAAAGUCCUUUUUCCGUGAAGAAUAAGUGGGGGAGGAAAUGCCCUGUGAUGACGUUAGCGGAGGAAUAAGCCCGAGCUAAUACGUGCCAGCAGCCGCGGUAAUACGUAAGAGGCGAGCGUUGUUCGGAAUUAUUGGGUGUAAAGAGCGCGUAGGCGGCUCCGUAAGUCCGGUGUCAAAGGUGGCGGCCCAACCGCCGCAGUGCGCUGGAAACCGCGGAGCUUACGAGUUUAGGAGGGGGAGCUGGAAUUCCAGGUGUAGGGGUGAAAUCUGUAGAUAUCUGGAAGAACACCGGUGGCGAAGGCGGGCUCCUGGCCAUAGACUGACGCUGAGGCGCGAAAGCGUGGGGAGCGAACAGGAUUAGAUACCCUGGUAGUCCACGCCGUAAACGAUGUACACUAGGCGUGCGCGCAGGAGCGUGCGUGCCGAAGCGAACGCGAUAAGUGUACCACCUGGGGAGUAUGCCGGCAACGGUGAAACUCAAAGGAAUUGACGGGGGCCCGCACAAGCGGUGGAGUAUGUGGUUUAAUUCGAUGAUACGCGAGAAACCUUACCAGGGUUUGACAUCGCGGGCGAGUCAUGGGAGACCAUGGCGCCCUGCAAAGGGGCCCGCGACAGGUGCUGCAUGGCUGUCGUCAGCUCGUGCCGUGAGGUGUUGGGUUAAGUCCCGCAACGAGCGCAACCCCCGUUUCCAGUUGCUACCGGGUAAAGCCGGGCACUCUGGAGAGACUGCCGGUGACAAACCGGAGGAAGGCGGGGAUGACGUCAAGUCAUCAUGGCCCUUAUGUCCUGGGCCACACACGUACUACAAUGGCCGGUACAAAGCGAAGCGAAACCGCGAGGUGGAGCGAACCGCAGAAAGCCGGUCUCAGUUCGGAUUGGAGUCUGAAACCCGACUCCAUGAAGGUGGAAUCGCUAGUAAUCGCGCAUCAGCAUGGCGCGGUGAAUACGUUCCCGGGCCUUGUACACACCGCCCGUCACACCACCCGAGUUGGGUGAACCCGAAGUCGGCAGUCCAACCGUCAGGAGGACGCCGCCGA
rnacentral:rRNA from 1 species